GAUCAUCCAAUCUAUUCGUCCCGAAAAAUGGCCGCCAGCAGGAGUUUGAGCCCGCGAAUUCCUGGGGUGACACUAAUCCUUUAAGCAAGCGACAUUCUUGACAACACGAAUGUCAAGAGCGUAUGAACAGCAGUUGAUGUAGUUUCACAUAAGAUUUCAAAUAAGAACGGCCGCUGGUCGGCGUUUGUGAAUCAAAACCGUCGUAAAGAGACUACGACACCGGAUGCCAAGUUUAUUAAAAUAACAUCAACCUCAAAGAACGCCCGUGGGGUAGCUAAACCCGAUGUUGGGUUAUAACGGGAUGUUAGGGGAUAAAUAAAUAUACUAAUACUAACUGUUGGG